rnacentral:rRNA from 1 species
UCGCCUGCCAACGGGGACCCACCACAAACCCAUUGCAGUACAAGAAGUACACGUCUGAACAAAACAAAACAAACUAUUUACAACUUUCAACAACGGAUCUCUUGGUUCUGGCAUCGAUGAAGAACGCAGCGAAAUGCGAUAAGUAGUGUGAAUUGCAGAAUUCAGUGAAUCAUCGAAUCUUUGAACGCACAUUGCGCCCUUUGGUAUUCCUUAGGGCAUGCCUGUUCGAGCGUCAUUUCAACCCUCAAGCCUAGCUUGGUGUUGGGCGUCUGUCCCGCCUCCGCGCGCCUGGACUCGCCUCAAAAGCAUUGGCGGCCGGUUCCCAGCAGGCCACGAGCGCAGCAGAGCAAGCGCUGAAGUGGCUGCGGGUCGGCGCACCAUGAGCCCCCCCACACCAGAAUUUUGACCUCGGAUCAGGUAGGGAUACCCGCUGAACUUAAGCAUAUCU